rnacentral:lncRNA from 1 species
CACCCAGCUGCAAUGCAACAUGGCGGCCAAUUAAGACUAGAGUACCCAUUUUCUGCUGUCCUCCUCAGCAUAGUUGUGGCACUAGCAGGACCAUAAAAUUACGUUUAAAAACCCUGACAUAAAAUUGUGAUGAACUUUUUAAUUACAAAGUGUAGUUUAAUGCAAAAGACUAAUAUUGUUUUGUGGAUUCUUAAAAAGUGUACAUAAAGAAAAGAUUUUAGAGUGGAUUUUUUAAGUGUAUGCUCAACGAGAACUAAACAAUUUUGUUCAUAACGUUAAAUUAUUUUUCUUUUUAAGGUUUCUUUAUCAGGAUCUAUAGAAGACGGCCUUUUGGAACCUCCAGAACAUACUUUUAACACUAAUUGAUUGUUGUUUCUAUUUAAGACACUAUAUGUAAAUACUAAUAUAGAAAAUAUAUGAACUAAGUACCAAA